GAUGAACGCUGGCGGCGUGCCUAAUACAUGCAAGUCGAGCGAACAGAUGAGGAGCUUGCUCCUCUGACGUUAGCGGCGGACGGGUGAGUAACACGUGGAUAACCUACCUAUAAGACUGGGAUAACUUCGGGAAACCGGAGCUAAUACCGGAUAAUAUAUUGAACCGCAUGGUUCAAUAGUGAAAGACGGUCUUGCUGUCACUUAUAGAUGGAUCCGCGCCGCAUUAGCUAGUUGGUAAGGUAACGGCUUACCAAGGCAACGAUGCGUAGCCGACCUGAGAGGGUGAUCGGCCACACUGGAACUGAGACACGGUCCAGACUCCUACGGAGGGCAGCAGUAGGAAAUCUUCCGCAAUGGGCGAAAGCCUGACGGAGCAACGCCGCGUGAGUGAUGAAGGUCUGCGGAUCGUAAAACUCUGUUAUUAGGGAAGAACAAAUGUGUAAGUAACUAUGCACGUCUGGACGGUACCUAAUCAGAAAGCCACGGCUAACUACGG
rnacentral:rRNA from 1 species